UGGCUCAGAUUGAACGCUGGCGGCAGGCCUAACCAUGCAAGUCGAGCGGUAACACAGAGAGCUUGCUCUCGGGUGACGAGCGGCGGACGGGUGAGUAAUGUCUGGGAAACUGCCUGAUGGAGGGGGAUAACUACUGGAAACGGUAGCUAAUACCGCAUAACGUCGCAAGACCAAAGUGGGGGACCUUCGGGCCUCAUGCCAUCAGAUGUGCCCAGAUGGGAUUAGCUAGUAGGUGGGGUAAUGGCUCACCUAGGCGACGAUCCCUAGCUGGUCUGAGAGGAUGACCAGCCACACUGGAACUGAGACACGGUCCAGACUCCUACGGGAGGCAGCAGUGGGGAAUAUUGCACAAUGGGCGCAAGCCUGAUGCAGCCAUGCCGCGUGUAUGAAGAAGGCCUUCGGGUUGUAAAGUACUUUCAGCGAGGAGGAAGGCGUUAAGGUUAAUAACCUUGGCGAUUGACGUUACUCGCAGAAGAAGCACCGGCUAACUCCGUGCCAGCAGCCGCGGU
rnacentral:rRNA from 1 species